UACAGAGGGUGCGAGCGUUGUCCGGAAUCACUGGGCGUAAAGGGCGCGUAGGCGGUCUCUUAAGCGUGUGGUGAAAGCCCGGGGCUCAACUCCGGGUCGGCCGUGCGAACUGGGGGACUGGAGCUUGUCAGAGGCAGGCGGAAUUCCGGGUGUAGCGGUGGAAUGCGUAGAGAUCCGGAAGAACACCGGUGGCGAAGGCGGCCUGCUGGGACAAUGCUGACGCUGAGGCGCGACAGCGUGGGGAGCAAACAGG
rnacentral:rRNA from 1 species